ACGACACAGAGUUUACCCCUUCCACCAUGUGAGAACAUAGCAAGAAGGUGCCAUCUUGGAAGCAGACAGCAGCCCUCAAGUCUUACCUGCCAGUGCCUUGAUCUAGGACUUCCCAGCCUCCAGAACUCAUCUGGAAGAGGCUCUGGGAGGGUCCAAGCAACAAACCACGCGGCGUUCUCUGGUGGCUGAGCUGGGACGAGUGGGCGGAAACAGCCUCAGCUGACAACUGUCAAGAACUGUCCCCUGCCAUUUCACCUGAGCCAACCUGAUCUCCCCAGGGGAAUGAGCC